rnacentral:lncRNA from 1 species
GAUAUGGGUCCGGCGGGGGGUCUGGAUACGGUGAGGGAGGCGGUGCCCAUGGAGGAGGCUAUGGAAAGGGUGGCGGCGGCGGUGGAGGUAGUGGUUCUGGCUCUGGCUCAGGCUCUGGGUCGGGCUACGGUUCUGGCUACGGAUCCGGGUAUGGGAGUGGUGGGGGGCACGGUCACCCUUGAAUCAUAGAGCAACAGCCGCAUGAAGCCCUACAUGUUAUCUCUCUUCGUAGCAUGUAAUUUUCUUUCAGUAAUACGUGUCUUUCGAGUAGUUUGUAAUGAAUAGUGCACCGAGAAUUAGUUUCCGUUGUGAUAAAUAAUGGAAGGGCUUCUGUUCCUAAAUAAAUGUAACGUUACUUUUACGGAAAUGAAGUUAUGGAUUUCCAUGAUUACCAUAUUUCUUUAAUGCAAAGAUGUGAAUGAUCC